rnacentral:rRNA from 1 species
UACGGAGGGAGCUAGCGUUGUUCGGAAUUACUGGGCGUAAAGCGCGCGUAGGCGGCUUUGUAAGUUAGAGGUGAAAGCCCGGGGCUCAACCUCGGAACGGCAUUCGAUACGGGACGGCUGGAGACCGGGAGAGGAGAGUGGAAUAGCCAGUGUAGAGGUGAAAUUCGUAGAUAUUGGCUGGAACACCGGUGGCGAAAGCGGCUCUCUGGCCCGGUUCUGACGCUGAGGCGCGAAAGCGUGGGGAGCAAACAGG